GACGAACGCUGGCGGCGUGCUUAACACAUGCAAGUCGAACGCAGUGGGGACGGGUGAGUAACACGUGGGUAACCUCCCAUCAGAGGGGAUAACACUUGGAACCAGGUGCUCAACCGAUACUGAUGGAUGGACCCGCGGUGCAUUAGCUAGUUGGUGAGGUAACGGCUCACCAAGGCCACGAUGCAUAGACGACCUGGGAGGGUGAUCGGCCACACUGGGAAUGAGACACGGCACAGACUCCGACGGGAGGCAGCAGUAGGGAAUCUUCGGCAAUGGACGAAAGUCUGAACGAGCAACGCCGCGUGAAGGAAGACGGUCUUCGGAUUGUAAACUUCUUUAGACAGGGACGCGGUACCUGUAGAAUAAGCCACGGCUAACUACGUGCCAGCAGCCGCGGUAAUAC
rnacentral:rRNA from 1 species